rnacentral:tRNA from 2 species
GUCAGGAUAGCUCAGCUGGUA